CGUAUCACCCAAGACAACUUUACGGAGUUGACGAUUGACGGAGCGAAGCGACGUCAAAGCGUUCAUUAAAGUCGAGUUGGCUUAGGGAUACGUUCGUUGGGUAGGGGAGCGUUCUGUAAGCCUGUGAAGGUGGCCUGUGAGGGUUGCUGGAGGUAUCAGAAGUGCGAAUGCUGACAUAAGUAACGAUAAAGCGGGUGAAAAGCCCGCUCGCUGGAAGACCAAGGGUUCCUGUCCAACGUUAAUCGGGGCAGGGUGAGUCGACCCCUAAGGCGAGGCCGAAAGGCGUAGUCGAUGGGAAACGGGUUAAUAUUCCCGUACUUGGUGUUACUGCGAAGGGGGGACGGAGAAGGCUAUGUUGGCCGGGCGACGGUUGUCCCGGUUUAAGCGUGUAGGCUGGUUUUCCAGGCAAAUCCGGAAAAUCAAGGCUGAGGCGUGACGACGAGGCACUACGGUGCUGAAGCAACAAAUGCCCUGCUUCCAGGAAAAGCCUCUAAGCAUCAGGUAACAUCAAAUCGUACCCCAAACCGACACAGGUGGUCGGGUAGAGAAUACCAAGGCGCUUGAGAGAACUCGGGUGAAGGAACUAGGCAAAAUGGUGCCGUAACUUCGGGAGAAGGCACGCUGACACGUAGGUGAAGUGAUUUACUCAUGGAGCUGAAGUCAGUCGAAGAUACCAGCUGGCUGCAACUGUUUAUUAAAAACACAGCACUGUGCAAACACGUAAGUGGACGUAUACGGUGUGACGCCUGCCCGGUGCCGGAAGGUUAAUUGAUGGGGUCAGCGCAAGCGAAGCUCCUGAU
rnacentral:rRNA from 1 species